UUGGGGUUGAAUGGGGGAUUUUCGAAGAGAAAAUGCGUGAUAUUCGGGAUAAGUGCGGAAUUUCGAAGAGAAAAUGUGUGAUUUUCAGAUUAAGUGAGGGAUAUUCAAGGUCAAAAUGUGUGAUUUUCUGGUUUGAUGGGGGAUUUUCCAGGAGAAAAUGCAUGAUUUGGGGAUUGAAUGGGGGACUUUCCAACAGAAAAUGUGUGAUUUUUGGGUUAGGUGUGGGAUUUUCAAAGAGAAAAUGCGUGAUUUUCUGGUUAAGUGAGGGAUUUUCCAACUGAAAAUGCGUGAUUUUCCAUUCAAUGGGGGAUUUUUGAAG
ensembl:lncRNA